GGCCCAGACUCCAUCCACCAACCGUAUGGUUUGCAACUAUGCAUCUGUAUUGGAAUCAACGAUAGGCGAUGGGGCCUGUCAUUCCGGUUCUGAUGUUGCCGUGGUGGAUGGAAGGGGAAUUUUGUUUUGUUUUCCUUGUCCCCAUCUCCUAUAUUCCUAUUGAUUUAAUCUGGAUUUCGAAAUCACAUUGUCUGAUUCAUUAUGCCCAGCAUUAAAUGGUUACUCUCGUCGUGAUUGGAUGCCCAGCUGAUCGCGUCCAGGUCCACCACGUGCGUUGACCAUGUGCGUGUAUGUGAUUGGUGGCCUGCAUGGGCCGAGCACAGCCUGCAUGCGCGGGCGCAGCUUAGUUAUUUUCUUACAUCUCGGUCUACACGCGCAGAGAUGUGGGAGAGAGGCUUCGCUGGUCACCCAACCUCGUGCCGGCCUGGCUCCCACGGAUACAACAUCCAAUCACGUUGUCUAUGUCUGUGUUCAUACGGAUGUGAAGAGAAAUCAUUGGAAAGACGGCUGGCGCACUGGACUAUUGCUGCAGACUCUGACACUCUGUGAGACCGAGACGACGAACCUCGGUGGGAACGCGUCCGCAGUAGAUCAAUGUGAUGCUGCAGCCUGGCAGCACACGCGCUUCCCCUUCCAGCAAUAAAAGAACUGGAUGAACGACCUAUG
rnacentral:lncRNA from 1 species